UAGGGAAUCUUCCACAAUGGACGCAAGUCUGAUGGAGCAACGCCGCGUGAGUGAAGAAGGUCUUCGGAUCGUAAAGCUCUGUUGUUGGUGAAGAAGGAUAGAGGCAGUAACUGGUCUUUAUUUGACGGUAAUCAACCAGAAAGUCACGGCUAACUACGUGCCAGCAGCCGCGGUAAUACGUAGGUGGCAAGCGUUGUCCGGAUUUAUUGGGCGUAAAGCGAGCGCAGGCGGAAUGAUAAGUCUGAUGUGAAAGCCCACGGCUCAACCGUGGAACUGCAUCGGAAACUGUCAUUCUUGAGUGCAGAAGAGGAGAGUGGAACUCCAUGUGUAGCGGUGGAAUGCGUAGAUAUAUGGAAGAACACCAGUGGCGAAGGCGGCUCUCUGGUCUGCAACUGACGCUGAGGCUCGAAAGCAUGGGUAGCGAACAGGAUUAGAUACCCUGGUAGUCCAUGCCGUAAACGAUGAGCGCUAGGUGUUGGGGACUUUCCGGUCCUCAGUGCCGCAGCAAAACGCAUU
rnacentral:rRNA from 1 species